UCAAGUUAAUAUGGUUGAUUUAUUUAUCAAAUCUCUACCAAAGAUCGUUUUGAAGAUAGUGCACAAGAUUGGAAUGCAAAGGCUCAAAUAUGUGAAUUGAUGCUCUCAUUAGGGGGAGUUAAUGCGCGUUGCACUCUUUUUCCCUUUCAAAGUUUUGUCCCACUGGGUUUUCCUUGUAAGGUUUUUAACGAGGCAACCAAUAGGCGCAUUUCUAAACAU
rnacentral:lncRNA from 1 species